rnacentral:rRNA from 1 species
GACAGAGGUGCCGAGCGUUAGGCGGAAUCACUGGGCUUAAAGCGUGUGUAGGCGGAUCCGUAAGUACCUUGUGAAAUCCCACGGCUCAACCGUGGAACUGCUUGGUAUACUGCGGGUCUUGAGCCACCUAGGGGCGAGCGGAACAAGUGGUGGAGCGGUGAAAUGCGUAGAUAUCGUAAGGAAGACCAGUGGCGAAGGCGAGUCUCUGGACAGUUACUGACACUGAGGCACGAAGGCCAGGGGAGCAAACGGG